GCAAACUUGGUCAUUUAGAGGAAGUAAAAGUCGUAACAAGGUUUCCGUAGGUGAACCUGCGGAAGGAUCAUUAUUGAAUAAACUUGGCGGGUUGUAGCUGGCUCCUUGGAGCAUGUGCACACUUGUCAUCUUUAUCUAUCCACCUGUGCACUUAAUGUAGGUCUUGUGGGGGAAUGGAAAUUGAGCCUUAGCUCUCUCAGUGUUUUACACUGGAUGUGGAGACUGCUGUGCCCGUAAUGGUGUGUAGUAGCUUUCUCCUAUAAUGUGGCUUCACGUCCUUCUCCCCGGGGUCUAUGUGUUUUCAUAUACACACUUCAGUAUGUUGAUGAAUGUAUUGAAUGGGCUUUCAUGCUCGUAAUAAACACUAUACAACUUUCAGCAACGGAUCUCUUGGCUCUCGCAUCGAUGAAGAACGCAGC
rnacentral:misc_RNA from 1 species